rfam:Triticum aestivum genome assembly, contig: Triticum_aestivum_CS42_TGACv1_scaffold_621404_7DS
GAUAUACUCCCUCCGUUUCAUAUUAGUUGUCUUUGAAAUGGAUGUAUCUAGACGUAUUUCAGUGUUAGAUACGUCCGUUUGAGCGACAACUAAUAUGGAACGGAGGGAGUAUAUG